rnacentral:rRNA from 1 species
UACGUAGGGGGCAAGCGUUGUCCGGAUUUAUUGGGCGUAAAGAGCGUGUAGGCGGUCAGGUAGGUCCGUUGUGAAAACUCGAGGCUCAACCUCGAGACGCCGAUGGAAACCAUCUGACUAGAGUCCGGAAGAGGAGAGUGGAAUUCCUGGUGUAGCGGUGAAAUGCGCAGAUAUCAGGAAGAACACCGGGCGGCGAAGGCGGGUCUCUGGGCCAUAACUGACGCUGAGGAGCGAAAGCGUGGGGAGCGAACAGG